UGACAACGGUUUCUCGAACGCAAGAAAAUUGAAGUGGGCAAGGCGUAACUGUGGCUGGGGCAGCGCUUCCGUGUGGGAUUUUUGAAUUGGCUUGCGAUGACUUGCAGUUUGUCGUGGCAGUAUUGAAUGAAUCAGAAGGGAUUGGGUUAACAAAAUUUAAGGUUAGUGCAAUUCGAAUUUUAGAUUAGUGAUAGGAAUCAUUUGUCGCUACUAAAAGUGGAUGGUGGAAAUUUAACGUUUCGUUUGGAUAAUUGGAAAAAUUGGGAGUGCAUGGCAAAAAAUUAACAUUAAAUUAAGGAUAUGUCCUGAACAACGCGGUUGGUGGUUGAGUGGAAAUAUUGAACCCAGUUGAAUAAUGAAUUGUUUUGCAUAUACAUGGUUGCAAAAUAGAUGUUGUACAGAGAUGGAAAAAUUGAGGAGUAGAGGGCAAUAAUUAUUCAAAUUAUUUAGGGAUUAUUUAGCAGCAGUCAAUAAAAUCUCACCGGAGCCACCAAUCUAACCGCACUCCGUUCUUCCUCACCAUUCUCAUAGUCGGCUCGCUCUGUCUUCUCUGUCGAUUUCAUCUCUCACAACAAUUAGUGCCACAUCUUCUUCACUUUAGAAUAAGAAACACUCAGCUUAAGAAAACACAAAACAUAAAACUCAAAUAUAACAUUAAGCAUAAACUCGGUUAAAAUUUAUCUCCAAAUUAUAGAUUCCAUCUGAAUUAUUAUACAACGAUGCAGCUAUAUAUCAAUUAUCAUUCGAAUAAAACAAAAACCAAAACAAGGAAAAGGCAUGGUAUACAAUCAUUCAUGGGUUAGACACAUAAUCACUGCAUGAUCAGACAUUCUAAUAAGAAAUUUCCAACAGUUGGCGAAGAGAUAACAGCAGCUGUGACCCACAACUGCUAUGGAAUUUAGGAGGGAGAGAGAGUGAGCGGCAGCUGCUGGAUUUGGAGAAGGAGAGACCCACGGCUGCUGGGUCUCUCGGGGGAAGAGAGAGUGACCCAUGACUGUUGGAUUUGGGAUGAAGAGGAGAGAGAGAGCCGACAAUGAGAUUAGUGGCGAGCGAGCAAGAGAGAGAGAGAGAGCUUGUGUUGCAAUUGUCAACACGUGUGUGUUACAAUUUAUACUUACCUCAAAACGCACCGUUCGUUGCUAUUUAUGGUGCUAAAUGUGGUGUGAAUCUCAUUUUCCAAGAAAUUUAUUGUUAUAUACGCCAACUUUUUCUUGUUUCCUUUAACACAGUAAUUGCAACAUGAACAGUUCCUGUCUAAUGACCACCACUCCCGGUUUCCUUAAACUGUCGCGUGGCCACUUCAGAACUGUACGAUUUUGUUCUUUUUCAUCCAACGGCUAACUCACUGCAUGACAAAGCAAGGGGGUACCGUGCCCAAGGUGCAUUGUAGACGAAGCCUAAUUUUUUGGAGGCCUGAUGUUAUCAAAAGCCCAAAUUAAUAUUUGACACACUUAUUAAAUUUGAUAUUAUUCCAUUCAUUUGGCAAAUUGAAUUCGAGUUCGAAUUCCGGUGGUGGAAUUAAUUGUCAAUUAAAUAUUCUUAAAGCCCAACGUU
rnacentral:lncRNA from 1 species